AUACUUACCUGGCAAAGGAGAUACCAUGAUCACCAAGGUGGUUUUCCCAGGGUGAAGUGCAUCCAUUGCACUCUAGAUAUGCUGACUCUAGCGAUUUCUCCAAAUGUGUGAAAGUCAACUGCGUAAUUUGUGGUAGUGGGAGACUGCGUCUGCACUUUCCCCUG